GGAUGCAGCUUGAUGGAACUGCUUGGCAAGCCCUGAUAGUUUUAAAACAUUUAAUAAAUUACUAAUUAAAGGAGGAGAAAAAACUCAGCUCAGAAAUGUCAGCAAACAUGUGCAUUGUUUUUUUCAACAUUUUGUAAAUUAAGUAAUUUAAAUUGAUUGAUGAAAACUGUUUCCUUUUCUUUUUCUUUUUUUUUUUCCCCAAUGUGGGAUGUUUAUGGAAACUACUUUGAUUUGGGCUUGCCCAAGUACUGACAAUGCUCCUUGCGUCUUCCUCAAGGACCUCAUCAUAGCUUGUGCAGAAAGGAUUUCUCUAACCUGCAAGUGAAUCACACCGACCUGUUUUUUGAACCAGAGCUUCAUGGGGGUGCCUUCUAAAAGCCCAGCUAACAGCAGAUACAGUGUUCAUGAAGUACUGAAUAUCCAUAAUGGUUUUUUUGAUGAAUAUGGUUUGAAUAUAUUUUCAUACCUCUUACACAAACAUAGAGAAGUAUUUUAACUGCUGUUAUCCCUCUUAGCCUCCUGCAGACCAUCUGACCCAUCAGCUUUGUUUGCUAUUGCUGAAAAACUGGGACUGAACUUCAUGAAUGAAUUUUGAGUUUGCUAUGGUUGCUACAUACUCCUGAUGGAGAAAGCAGGGCCAAAAUGCUGCUUGAAGGGAUACAAGAAGAUGGAGGGCCUCGUGGUAAUAAUUAGCAUCUCUUGAGGAGUGACUCCAUGAUCCUGAGCUGACCACCAAGAACCUACUGGUUGAUCCAUCUUUGGCUUUGAUGUACAUGGUGUGUGUCACACCCCCUUCAGGGACACAGAGCAAGCAAGGUUGUCAUACUGCCUCCAUUUGCUAAUUCUGAGAGUGCCGUGGCUACAGAUGGCCAGUGAGUCAUGCUGGGAACAGCCAUGAAGCAAUGAGCACCAGCCCAGCAGCAGAGCACCCAUGUGAAAGAAGACAGCACACCUGCAGGUCCAAAGCCAGCCCAGGACACAGAGCCAUCUGCGCACAGGACAGCAAUAAAUGUGACUUCUGUUUCUGCCUGAAGAAGGUGCCACCUUCAAGCUGGGAGUAAACAUAUGCAAGCCAAGGGACUCCAGAAGAAUUCAUAUAUUUUCAAAUCACCCUUAUUCCUCAGCCAUCACUCUUUUUAGCUUUGGAAAGUGUCUUUUCAACUAAGCUAUUCUUGUCGUCACUCUAUUUUCUGUAAACCUGCUUAACUACUCUUCCUCUGUGCUUUUGUUUGACUAUAAAUGAACAAACAGCUUGUUUUCCACAAAGGUCACAUUUUCCCUUGAAGAGCAAUUUAUACAAAGCUUAUGGCAGAGCUCUUAUUGUUGCCUUAAGGUAUUUAAUUCUGAUUAUGCCCUUUGCUAGCAUUAUGCAAUUGCCAUGAUAUAGGCUGUCCAAAUCAAAAAUACAAAUUCAUUAUCAUGUGCUCAUGUAGUCAAGACUGAUCUUUAAUUAUUUAUCAAGCUUUCAUAAGUCAGGACUGUGUAAAACAAGUAUUGUUAACUAGGAUUACUUAUGGGACACAUCUGUAUCAGUUAAUUAUUACAACAGUUACCUAUUACCUAUCAGAAAACUAUAUCUUCCUCAUUUAAAAUCCACUCCUGUUUUAUUAAACAGUAUAAUGUUAUUAUUGGUUUUUCAGAGAAGUAGAAGGGUUAACAAUGAGAUUGCUGUGCACUCAAAAUGGAGCUGAUGCAGACUGAAAUCAACUUCUAGCUUGACUUCUACCCAGUUCAGGCACAAAUGACAUGGAAAAAAGAAUCCCCAUGGCAGGGAACAAUGUACAAGUCUCUUCUGCAACAGCAAGCAGAAACUCUUAGGUAAAAAGUGGUUUUUUUGUCCCCACUGACAGGAAGCAUAAUUGGAAAUGUUAAUAUCCUUGACACAGAAAAAGAAUAUAAUCCUUUCAGAACAUCAACAUUGCUUCAAAGAGCUCCUAAUGCAUUGAUUUUUUUUUUUUUUUUUUUUUUUUUUUUUUUACCCCUGACAUUAAAAUAAAAGCAAAAAGAAUGCUAGUAUAGACUCCCUGUGUAGUACACUGUCCUGCCAGAACUGAAAUAGUGCCUGCAGGACAGAGAUCAGUCGGGAAGCUUUACAUUCAUCUGGCCCCAGCUGAGAUUACUUCAGAGCAGCGUUGUAAAACUCCUGUUCAGAAAGCAGCCUGGACACAAUGCCCUUUAAUUCCAGAUUCAGAGGUAGCAAAGCACACAGAGCAAUUCCAUUCAUCAACCACAUGAAUACCCUUAAACCCAACAA